rnacentral:lncRNA from 1 species
GAAAAUCCCUGUUGGCCCGACCGACACCGACACGGUGGCGCCGUCCUCGUCCCGGCGUCGCUUCUUCUUAUACCUCGAGCUGCCUCGCACAACUCUCCUGAGGUUACUUUCUUCUUACUCUGGUUAUUUCUCUCAAACACACACACAAGAACACUUAUGAACACACACGCACACAAGGAAGAAACCAGCACCAGCCUUUGCCAAGAGCUCUCCUCCUUGAUGACACAAAUGCUACAUUGUUUCUUCCAGCCCUCACUGGCUUCUCUUUUCAUUACACAAUGCCACUUAUAUAAACAGAGGCUGGCACGAGCUGUCAUGCAAUACUCACGCCACUACUUGACCCAUUACUCCACUAACAACUCUAUCCAUGCACUAACUACUUGAAUCAUCCCACGAAGCUAGCUAACAGAUCACAUGCAGCUAACAACCUAUUUGCCCAUGUUUAGCACUCCCUGGAAUCACUCGAGAUCACAAAGACUCGGCUAGUACUAACAAACUAGCACAUGCGCAGCUCCUCUCCAACCAACUGAGAAACCUGCCGGGUCACUCGACCCAUUCUGACGUGGUCUAUCAUGUUCCAUCCUUCAUCACGUCUUUUGCCGCUUCUCACGGCGUCGUUGUAUCACACGGCACCAUCGGCAUCUCGCCGUGCUCGCCACAUCGCACGGCAGCCCGACACCUCGCCGUCUUCACGCGCCUCCGAUCAAGCUUGGGCUCGUCACAGCGACCGUCACGUUCGUCAAACAAACAUACAGAUACAUGAACAUGAACAUGACAAGAUUAAACCUAACAG